AUUGAACGCUGGCGGCAUGCCUUACACAUGCAAGUCGAACGGCAGCACGGGGCAACCUGGUGGCGAGUGGCGAACGGGUGAGUAAUGCAUCGGAACGUGCCAUUGAGUGGGGGAUAACGUAGCGAAAGUUGCGCUAAUAUCGCAUAUUCUGUGAGCAGGAAAGCAGGGGACCGCAAGGCCUUGCGCUCUUUGAGCGGCCGAUGUCAGAUUAGCUAGUUGGUGAGGUAACGGCUUACCAAGGCGACGAUCUGUAGCGGGUCUGAGAGGAUGAUCCGCCACACUGGAACUGAGACACGGUCCAGACUCCUACGGGAGGCAGCAGUGGGGAAUUUUGGACAAUGGGCGCAAGCCUGAUCCAGCCAUGCCGCGUGAGUGAAGAGGGCC
rnacentral:rRNA from 1 species